rnacentral:rRNA from 1 species
UACGGGGGGGGCAAGCGUUGUUCGGAAUUAUUGGGCGUAAAGGGCUCGUAGGCGGUUUGUCGCGUCGGAAGUGAAAACUCAGGGCUUAACCCUGAGCCUGCUUCCGAUACGGGCAGACUAGAGGUAUGCAGGGGAGAACGGAAUUCCUGGUGUAGCGGUGAAAUGCGUAGAUAUCUGGAGGAACACCGGUGGCGAAGGCGGCAUCCUGGACCACGACUGACGCUGAGUGAGCGAAAGCCAGGGGAGCAAACGGG